GCAACAAGGUAAUUAAUUGCCAUGCCUUGGAGUCUGCAGCCUCAGCGCGCAGGAAGACCAUCAUCGAUGAGUGGGAUGAGGAGUUUGACAGAGGGGAGGUGAAGAAGGUUAAAAAGCGGAGGAGGGAGCAGAGACACCAGAACCCCUGGCAGUGGCUGCACCGCCAGCACAGCUUCUGGGCAGUGACGCAUGCGGCCAAGGCAGCGAGCCUGCGCCACCGGCUCUGAGCCGGAAUGCCAGUGAGCGGGAGGAGAGGCCCCUGCCAUGGAGCCCUGUCCUGGGAGCUGCUGUGGAGGGAAGAGGACACCGCUGCCCACAUCUCCACGCUCGAUGUCCCUGCCUUCUGCUGUGAAGGAGCCCAGGAGGACCGUGCCUUGUCCGGGCUCCUUCAGCAGCUUCCCUGCGCCUAGGCCUGGAGUAGCCCUUUCUCCCCCCAGGCCUGGAGCCCGGCUCAGGGGGGCUCCUGCCAAGUGCCUCAGGACCAUUGCUGCUGCUCCAGCCCCAUGACCCCGGCUGCGCUCCGCACCUGGGGCUGCUCCUCUCCCUCGUGCCCCCCCCUUUCCCUCCUCACCACGUUGGAGUCACCGUUAACACCAUCCCCUCCACCGGCCCUUCCUGUGCUGCGCAUGGGGGUUGGCGCCUUGCGGGGACGGGGUGGCCGUGGCCACCAAUAAAGAUGUGUUGGUGA